AAGAUUAGGUCUCCCUGAUUAUUUAAUAAUCCUAAAGAUCCCUCGAAGACUACGAGGUUGAUAGGCUAGGUGUGGAAGUACAGCAAUGUAUGAAGCUAACUAGUACUAAUUGAUCGUGAGGCUUGACCAU
rnacentral:rRNA from 1 species